AAAUGUUGUAGUAUAUAUGAGUCAUAUUGUAUGAUUCAUGUUGUAUGAGUCAUAGUAUGAGUCAUAGUAUAAAUGUCUAUAUCAUGUAAUAAGUACUUGAGUGUAUAGAUAGGUACUUGAGUGUAUAAACAUAGGUACUUGAGUGUAUGAAGACUUGUGUGACAUGCUUUAUACCAAGAGGCAACAAGCAUGGCAGAUUUCAUCAUUGAAGGCAAGUAUGUGGAGCUGCAGCCCUCAAUCAACCAAGAGAAGAUUGUUACCAAAUUGAGUUUCUCUUAGAGCUUUCACACUAGCUAUGUAUUCCUAUAAAUACACUCCUUUGUGAGAAGAUUAAUACACAUGAAUCUCCAUUCUCUCUGCAACAUUACUCUCUCCUCUCUCUCUCUGUUAAUUUAUGCUUGUCCUUAAACACGUUAUCAGCAUGAGCUCCUAGCCCUUGCUAGCCAUACCGUGCGCUGCCCCUGCGCUAGUUCCUGUGCAGAUCAGCCUGCUUACACGCACCAAAACAUCUUGUUCAGGACCUCUGAUCAAAAUACUUUCUUCAUCAAAGUUGUUCAUAUAUGUCUUUUCUAUCUGACCUCAAAAUUUCAGCCAUGUUGAAGUCGUUUUGAGACAUGUACACCAUUUAAAGUGGGAGCUGUUCAGCAUGCUCGUCCCUGUGCAGAUCAACCUGCUUGCACGCCGAGAAACGUCCUUUUAGGGACAUCUAAUCAAAAUACUUUCUUCAUCAAAGUUGUUCAUAUAUGUCUUUUAUAUCUGACCUCAAAAUUUCAUCCCUGUUAAAGUCUUUUUGAGACAUGUAAACCAUUCAAAGUGGGAGCUAUUCAGCAUGAUCGUUCCUGUGCAGAUCAACCUACUUGCACGCCGAGAAACGUCCUUUUCAGGACAUCUAAUCAAAAUAAUUUCUUCAUCAAAGUUGUUAAUCUCUGUCUCUUAUAUCUAAUCUCCAAAUUUCAGCCCUGUUGGAGCAGUUUUGAGACCUGUAUAACAUUUAAAGUGGGAUCUAUUCAGAAACGAAUUUGCUCCGAAUUUCAACAAGAUGUCGAAUGAACCUAGACUCGACUUUCCAAUACUUGACUCAACAGGCUCGGAAUACCAUGGCUGGGUAACCGACGUUGAGAACCAUCUCACUGCAAAAGGGAUAUUGCCCAUAAUACAGGCACCUAUCCAGGGCCUUGUGUUCCAAUGAACACCCACAAAGCAUGCUCAAGCACUUAUCUUGAUACAACGCCACAUGGAUAAAGCUCUCAGAUUAGAGUACAUGUCGAUCAAGGAUGCAAGAGACAUAUGGGUAGCGCUAGAAGAGCGCCAUGGCAAUAUCCAAAUUCCCUCCUCCCUGACUUGAAGAUUCAGUGGAACAAUAUGUGCCAUGGAGGUCGCACCAUGAGACGUGGUAGUAGCAGCAACCCUCCUAGGGAAUAUCCACAACAUGGACAACCUGCACCGCAAAUGAAGGGAGGUAACCACAAUGACAUGUGUUAUCGAUGUGGAUCAAUUGAGCAUUGGCUCAAGCAAUGCCAUGCAAGUACCCAACUAGCUGAAAGCUGCAAGUACCCAACUAGCUGAAAGCUACAAGGAGUAUAGGCAAUUGAGAAAGCAAGAAACCAAUCUUGCUGAAGAUGAAGAUAUCAAUCUUGCUGAAAAUAAAGAUGGUGAAGAUAACACUCUCACCACUGAGCACUUCAAAGCUGCAAAUAAAGAGCACGAGGAUGCCGCAGACUUUGAUUAGAAUAGUCCUUUUCUAUUUUCCAAUAACGGCAAAUGUGCCUUAGUCAAUAAAUGACAAUUGUAUUGACUCUUUCUCA